rnacentral:rRNA from 1 species
AGACCCGAAACCCGGUGAUCUAGCCAUGGGCAGGUUGAAGGUUGGGUAACACUAACUGGAGGACCGAACCGACUAAUGUUGAAAAAUUAGCGGAUGACCUGUGGCUGGGGGUGAAAGGCCAAUCAAACCGGGAGAUAGCUGGUUCUCCCCGAAAGCUAUUUAGGUAGCGCCUCGUGAAUUCAUCUCCGGGGGUAGAGCACUGUUUCGGCUAGGGGGCCAUCCCGGCUUACCAACCCGAUGCAAACUGCGAAUACCGGAGAAUGUUAUCACGGGAGACACACGGCGGGUGCUAACGUCCGUCGUGAAGAGGGAAACAACCCAGACCGCCAGCUAAGGUCCCAAAGUCAUGGUUAAGUGGGAAACGAUGUGGGAAGGCCCAGACAGCCAGGAUGUUGGCUUAGAAGCAGCCAUCAUUUAAAGAAAGCGUAAUAGCUCACUGGUCGAGUCGGCCUGCGCGGAAGAUGUAACGGGGCUAAACCACGCACCGAAGCUGCGGCAGC